AGAUGAAAUCUAGGGUGUUUCUUUAUUAUAUGUAGAAAGACAUACUUCGGGGAGUUGAAAAUGACCAUAGAUCUAGAGGUUCCCGAAUAGGUUAACCUUUUUAACUGCUGCUGAAUCCAUGGGCAUGCAAGAGACAACCUGGCGAACUGAAACAUCUUAGUAGUCAGAGGAAUAGAAAGCAAAAGCGAUUCCCGUAGUAGCGGCGAGCGAAAUGGGAGCAGCCUAAACCGUGAAAACGGGGUUGUGGGAGAGCACAAUAUAAGCUCUAUGCUACUACCCAACCUAUCCUAAAACAAUUCUCAUUU
rfam:Picea glauca, whole genome shotgun sequence.